UGCAGUAAGUGCCUUCCGUGGACAUAUUCUUCUUUUCCUAGGACAGUGCCUAUGCUUUGAUUUACAGAAUAAAUGUCUUAGUGAGUGAAUGGGUGGUGGGACAACUGAGUGAACAUGCUUGCUGAGGUUGUGUUUUUUUUUCCUAUAGAAAGACUUAAUAAUUCCAGGACAUACAACUGCCAUCAUUCACAGUGCACCAGAAGAGCAACCCAAUAACGACAGAAUAACUCGUGUUCAUGGAGUCCAUGAAGAUAACAAAUGUGGCAGGAACGUCAGCUGUAGCGGGCAAGAAGAGUAAAAAAUGUUUUUUCAUCACUCAAGUUGCUCCACAACAGCCAAUUAAUAAACAUGGGAUGGACUCUGAUCACACAUUGGACAAAGAUAACAAACGUAGUAAGGAGUCUACCUCCCAAAGAGAUCCUGAAGACAACAACUCACCAAGGAAUUCGAAGGCAGGAACGUCAGCUGUAGCGGGUAAGAAGAGUAAAAAAUGUUUUUUCAUCACUCAAGUUGAUCCACACCAGCUAAUUAUGAACUCUGAUCACGGAUUGGACAGAGAUAACAAACGUAGUAAGGAGUCUACCUCCCAAAGUGAUCCUGAAGACAACAACUCACCAAGGAAUUCGAAGGCAGGAACGUCAGCUGUAGUGGGUAAGAAGAGUAAAAAACGUUUUUUCAUCGCUCAAGUUGCUCCACAACAGCCAAUUAUGAACUCUGAUCACGGAUUGGACAAAGAUAACAAACGUAGUAAGGAGUCUACCUCCCAAAGAGAUCCUGAAGACAACAACUCACCAAGGAAUUCGAAGGAAGGAAUGUCAACCUUAGCGAGUAAGAAGGGCUUAAAAGAUAUCGCCAUCACUCAAGUUGCUCCACAACAGCCAAUUAAUGAAUAUGCGUUCAACUAUGAUCGUGGAUUGGACAAUGGUAAGGAGUCUACCUCCCAAAGAGAUCCUGAAGACAACAACUCACCAAGGAAUUCGAAGACUAUUUCUACAAAUUCUUGGAAGAAAUCCAUUAAUCAAUCAAUGGCAGCCGAUGCAAAAAGAAAAGAUAUGAAUGAACCACUGGAAGAGUUUGCUAAGGGAUCCACUGAGUUGACGCCUCGUCUGGAAGCAAUACAUCCUUUUUGGACAACAUCAGUGGGAAUGAAUGAAGUACAAACAUGCAGACAAGAUAAUGACAUUAAAACAACAAACAAGGAAGAACAAGAAUGGCUUGAUGGAAGUAAAAAUAAGCAAUUUGAAGAAAAAGGGCAGCGUUGCCAAAGUAAGGAAAUGGAAGUGUUAAGAAACUUGCAUGAAAGUGCUGCUCCUCCUGAUGACAGUGAUGGUUGUGGACUGAAUCAGCAGAGACAGAGUGGGGACCUUGAUAACCAGCAAUCUGCCACUAAGAAGAAUGAAGAAUAUUAUUUCUGCCCUGCCUUGCAUAUAAAGGAAACAAAAAAUGAAAAUGAAAAAGUGACUUCCAUGGAGUAUGGGAUUAGACCAGUGAUAGAGAAUGGCUUUUCACUCACUAGAAGUCUACUGCAAGUGAUUUAUGACAACAAUCUGAGUGAGCUCGAUCGUCUUAAAAGGGAACAGUUAAGAAGAAAAGAAAAGCAAUAUCAUAAAGAAGUAGAAGUGAAACAACUUGAAGUGACACAUAGAACACUAGAAUUGGAUGCGAGGACUUCAAAAAACAAUUUGACCCAGGUAAGUUAAUCUUUGAUAAAAUUUUUAUGUUUCUGACUUGAAUCACUGUUACAUAUAAUGUCCUCCUCAUUCAAGAUAUAUACAUAAAUAUAUAUAUACACACACACGCAUAUACUAAACAGGUGUGUAUGCACACAGACACACACACAGAUGUGUAAUCUUUAUUUAAAGUAACCCAAAAAUUAUUCUGAAGAUGAAUUAUGACAUAUACUGCUGGAGUUAUUGCUUGUGAGUCUUGGUACAUGAUGGUGCUUAGUACAUAUUUUCUAAAUAAAGCAGUGCAUAUUGAGUUGAAUUUAAUAACU
ensembl:lncRNA